UACGGGGGGGGCAAGCGUUGUUCGGAAUUACUGGGCGUAAAGGGCUCGUAGGCGGCCAACUAAGUCAGACGUGAAAUCCCUCGGCUUAACCGGGGAACUGCAUCUGAUACUGGAUGGCUUGAGUUCGGGAGAGGGAUGCGGAAUUCCAGGUGUAGCGGUGAAAUGCGUAGAUAUCUGGAGGAAUACCGGUGGCGAAGGCGGCAUCCUGGACCAUUACUGACGCUGAGGCGCGAAAGCUAGGGGAGCAAACGGA
rnacentral:rRNA from 1 species